CCUACGGGAGGCAGCAGUGGGGAAUCUUGCGCAAUGGGCGAAAGCCUGACGCAGCAACGCCGCGUGCGGGAAGAAGGCCCUAGGGUUGUAAACCGCUUUCAGUAGGAACGAAAAUGACGGUACCUGCAGAAGAAGGUGCGGCCAACUACGUGCCAGCAGCCGCGGUGACACGUAGGCACCAAGCGUUGUCCGGAUUUAUUGGGCGUAAAGAGCUCGUAGGCGGUUCAGUAAGUCGGGUGUGAAAACUCUGGGCUUAACCCAGAGCCGCCACUCGAUACUGCUGUGACUUGAGUUCGGUAGGGGAGCAGGGAAUUCCUAGUGUAGCGGUGAAAUGCGCAGAUAUUAGGAGGAACACCGGUUGGCGAAGGCGCUGCUCUGGGCCGAUACUGACGCUGAGGAGCGAAAGCGUGGGUAAGCAAACAGGAUUAGAUACCCUGGUAGUCCACGCCGUAAACGUUGGGCACUAGGUGUGGGUUCCAACCACGGAAUCCGCGCCGUCGCUAACGCAUUAAGUGCCCCGCCUGGGGAAUACGGCGGCAACGCUAAAACUCAAANAGAUAGACGGCGUGAGACGUGCCGAACGGACGACGACGAGGGAGUAGG
rnacentral:rRNA from 1 species